CUUCGUCAGCAUGGAAGAGGCAAAGAAGAACAUGUAUGCCUUUAGCACCACCACCUACACAGGAUUCCAGUGCACUGUUAACGAAGCAACAUCUGAGAAAUUCAAGGGGUUGCCUGGUGUUCUUUGGGUGCUGCCAGACUCGUAUAUAGAUGUUAAAAACAAAGACUAUGGAGGUGACAAAUACAUACAUU